GUCGCUUUGAUGGCAGUGUACUCAGUGGCAUAUUAAAAAAUUGGUCACUCUUCUUUAUUUGGGCCUUUUGUUUACUAUUCUAUUGACUUUUGGCCUUAACGAAGAAAGAGACA
rnacentral:snoRNA from 1 species